CGGUUGAUCCUGCCGGACCCCACUGCUAUCGGGAUAGGACUAAGACAUGCUAGUCAAGCGCCUGCCAAUUGGAGGCGCGGCGCACAGCUCAGUAACUCGUGGCUAACCUGCCCCUGGGACGGGAAUACCCCCGGGAAACUGGGGCUAAUUCCCGAUAGGUGAAGACUUCUGGAAUGAGUCUUCGCCCAAAAGACGCCUAAAUCAUGCUUUUAGGCGUCGCCCCAAGGGAUGGGGCCGCGACCCGAUCCAGGUAGUUGGUGAGACGGCAACGGCUCACCCAAGCCUUUAACCGGGUGCGGGCCGUGAGAGCGGGAGCCCGGAGAUGGGCACUGAGAUAAGGGCCCAGGCCCUACGGGGCGCAGCAGUCGCGAAAACUUUGCAAUACACGAAAGUGUGACAGGGCUAUCCCGAGUGCCAUCCGCUGAGGAAGGCUUUUACCCAGUUUAGAAAGCUGGGAGAAUAAGGAGAGGGCAAGCCUGGUGUCAGCCGCCGCGGUAAUACCAGCUCUCCGAGUGGUGUGGAUGUUUAUUGGGCCUAAAGCAUCCGUAGCUGGCCAAGUUAGUCCCCUGUUAAAUCCACCGAAUUAAUCGUUGGAGUGCGGGGGAUACUGCUUGGCUAGGGGACGAGAGAGGCCGACGGUAUUUUCGGGGUAGGGGUGAAAUCCUAUAAUCCCGGGAAGACCACCAGUGGCGAAGGCUGUCGGCUAGAACGCGCCCGACGGUGAGGGAUGAAAGCUGGGGGAGCGAACCGGAUUAGAUACCCGGGUAGUCCCAGCUGUAAACGAUGCAGGCUAGGUGUUUGGGCGGCCACGGGCCGCUCUAGUGCCGCAGGGAAGCUGUUAAGCCUGCCGCCUGGGGAGUACGGCCGCAAGGCUGAAACUUAAAGGAAUUGGCGGGGGAGCAC
rnacentral:rRNA from 1 species